AGAUACGCUGGCUGUGUGAGGAGGUGCGGGAGUGCAACACAAGAGAACAGCGCCUGAAGAAGCAGCAACAACAGACCAGGGAUCAGUUAAAGGCCCUGAGGCAGAGCCGGGACUCUGAGCAGACGGCUCUCCUGCAGCGCCUCGAUCAACAGGAGAAGCUGCUGCACUCCCUUGACACUGAAAAGAGAGAGCUGUUGGACAGGAGUCGCAGGAAGGAGGAAGAAAUGCGGAGCCUUCAGGAAGGUGUAUUGGAUCUGGAGAUGGUAAG